CGAACGCUGGCGGCGUGCUUAACACAUGCAAGUCGCACGGCAAGGCCCUGCUUGCAGGGUACUCGAGUGGCGAACGGGUGAGUAACACGUGGGUGAUCUGCCCUGCACUUCGGGAUAAGCCUGGGAAACUGGGUCUAAUACCGGAUAGGAGCCAUUUUUAGUGUGAUGGUUGGAAAGUUUUUUCGGUGUAGGAUGAGCUCGCGGCCUAUCAGCUUGUUGGUGGGGUAAUGGCCUACCAAGGCGGCGACGGGUAGCCGGCCUGAGAGGGUGGACGGCCACAUUGGGACUGAGAUACGGCCCAGACUCCUACGGGAGGCAGCAGUGGGGAAUAUUGCACAAUGGGCGCAAGCCUGAUGCAGCGACGCCGCGUGGGGGAUGACGGCCUUCGGGUUGGAAACUCCUUUCGCUAGGGACGAAGCUUUUUGUGACGGUACCUAGAUAAGAAGCACCGGCUAACUACGUG
rnacentral:rRNA from 1 species